GAGUUUGAUCGUGGCUCAGGAUGAACGCUGGCGGCGUGCCUAAUACAUGCAAGUCGAGCGAACGGACGAGAAGCUUGCUUCUCUGAUGUUAGCGGCGGACGGGUGAGUAACACGUGGGUAACCUACCUAUAAGACUGGGAUAACUCCGGGAAACCGGGGCUAAUACCGGAUAACACAUGAAACCGCAUGGUUUCAUGAUGAAAGACGGUCUUGCUGUCACUUAUAGAUGGAUCCGCGCUGCAUUAGCUAGUUGGUAAGGUAACGGCUUACCAAGGCAACGAUGCAUAGCCGACCUGAGAGGGUGAUCGGCCACACUGGAACUGAGACACGGUCCAGACUCCUACGGGAGGCAGCAGUAGGGAAUCUUCCGCAAUGGGCGAAAGCCUGACGGAGCAACGCCGCGUGAGUGAUGAAGGUCUUCGGAUCGUAAAACUCUGUUAUUAGGGAGAACAUAUGUGUAAGUAACUGUGCACAUCUUGACGGUACCUAAUCAGAAAGCCACGGCU
rnacentral:rRNA from 1 species